CCAAAGGCUCUUUUAAGAGCCACCUAUAACUUCAUAGGAAGAGCUG
rfam:Alligator sinensis unplaced genomic scaffold scaffold647_2, whole genome shotgun sequence